rnacentral:rRNA from 1 species
CGGUAACGCGUAUGCAAUCUACCUUUUACAGAGGGAUAGCCCAGAGAAAUUUGGAUUAAUACCUCAUAGCAUAGCAGCUUCGCAUGAAGUCACUAUUAAAGUUCCAACGGUAAAAGAUGAGCAUGCGUCCUAUUAGCUAGAUGGUAAGGUAACGGCUUACCAUGGCUACGAUAGGUAGGGGUCCUUAGAGGGAGAUCCCCCACACUGGUACUGAGACACGGACCAG